AUAUAUAUAUUUUUACAAGCUUCAAGCAACAGUUUUUUCAUUUAGAAUAGCUACGCUAUGUUGCGUAGAGCAACAAUACAAAAUACCCGCGAAAUUAUGUUAUUGAUUAUCUUAUUUUGUCCGAAAUUUAUUUAUUUUUUAGAAAUUCUUAAAUUUCUACUAUAUUACAUUCCAUAUAUUUAAGUGUGUUAAUGCUUUUGUGAAUUUUUUAAGUAGUCACCUUGAAUCUUAAUAAAUUAGAUCUUAACUCUUACAUUCAUUAUUUAAAUUGUUCCAUUGUUUCCUUUAAUAGUAAUAAAAGCAUGUAGUAAAAUUUGUUUUAAACUUUACCUUAAGCUAUCUUAAAAUGUGGAAAGUGUGUGGAAACGAAAUUUAUUUCAAAUUAUAUUAACACAACAAAAUCAACAAUUUUCAGUUUGUUCUUAUUUUUACGACAUUCAUUCUCAACGCAGUUGCUUCGUACAAUUAUAACCACUUAGAGAAAAUAUGUUUUAAUAAUUGUUUAUUCAGAGAAAAUAUGUUUUUGUUUCUAUUUUCAUAACUUAAAAUAUUGUCUGCAAAAACUAAUUAGCACAUUUGAAGUCACCCACUCGGACCAUUAAGAAUGAGUACUAGUAUAUGACAAUCCGAUGAUUGGAUCAGAAGUUAUUCAGGUAAAACCAUCAUGAUCAACAAGACAUUCCUAACAAUAGCGAAGUAUAAUAUAGGUAGAAAAACUGCCUUCCACCACAGACCGUGUUUGGGCCGUUUACUAGAAAUAAUGACUAUACCUGAAGCAGAAAGGAUUGAACAUUUAAUGCAGAAAAGAAAGAUGAAGAGGACAUCCAAACAAACAAUGAAUUUAGAAAGGAUGAAUUGAUGCAUCAAUAAAACUGUAAUGGCCUUCUGUGUAAAGGAGCAUCAAAUUUACUAUCUAUGCUUCUAAACAUUCAAAAGUGUCUUCGGAAAAACAAAAAUACUGGAAUCCUAAAUUAAAUGAAGAAAAAAAGGAAAGAAAACCUAUAAGGCUGCUGAUGCAGUUUUGAAAGAAUAUCUGGUAAGAUGCAAUAUAGAAGUGUUUUCUGAAGAAGAAUUGCGUCCCGCAAUCAUCCCUGCCUCCAGUCCCCAAGCCUCCUACAUCCUCUCCUCUACUCCACCAGCUCCAAAAAUAGUUAACGUCAGGCUGAUAUGCCAUCUUUCUCUGCUGAGAGGACUAAUGAAAGUCCUCUCACAAUGAAAGAGGCGAGUGUAGUUUGCUUUCAAUAAGUGUUCAGUGCACAAGUUGUGCUAAAAAAUGAAGGUUCUUAUAGUGCAAUGAUCUCAAAUAUGCGUAAGCUUAUGGAGGAGGUAGCAAUGUUGCGCCAAGAUACUGACUGUUUUUCCCAAGCGCUGCAUGUUCAACGUCCAGACAAUGAAAAGACAGAGGACUUCCAGCUUAUGGAGGCUGCAUGUUCAACGUCCAGACACUGAAAAGACAGAGGACUUCCAACUUAUUGAGGCUGGAGAAAUGCAAUUGCUGGAGGUUGAGCUCGAGUCUAAUGAGAAGUUAUCCAAAAUGUGGCAGUCUGGCAGAACCCAGCAACGAAAAUUGCAAAACAAGCUGAUGUUGAACUUUUUGUGAAGAGCUGGCUGAGGACUGCUGCUGAUAGAAAUGGAGGAAGGAAUAAAAGAAAAAAUGUUGUAAAAUAGAUAUUUUUGUUACUGCUGUAAUUUUGUGUAAUUAUAGUAGUUGUGUAUAUGAUUAGUUGUGUUGAUGAAUAAAAUUAUGUACCUU
rnacentral:lncRNA from 1 species